GCCGGUGUAGCUCAAUGUUAGAGUGGCUGAAAUGUAAUCAGUUGAUGGAGUGUUCAAAUCCUCCCGCCGGCUCCA
rnacentral:tRNA from 1 species